UCAACACGCCAUUGCUGGCUUUGAAGAUGGAAGGGACCGUAUGAUGAAUGUGUGCAUCCUCUGGAAGAUGAGACAGGCCCUUGGCUAACAGUCAGGAAUUGGGGACUUUAGUCCUAUAACCACAAGGACCAAAGUCUUCCAACAAACUGAAUGAGCUCGGACGUGGAUUAUUUCCCAUAUCUUCCAGGAAGAACCCGACAGCAGCACUUUGACGUUGGUCUUGUGAAAUCCUAAGCAGAGAAUUCAGUUGAGUCAUGAAGGACUUCUGACCUACACAAACUGAACCCUGCUCCUUUGUCAUAUGAACAAGCUGGGGCCAGCCUGUUGGAAGAUGAAAGAACACAUGGAGUAGUGUGCCUAGCAAUUAAGAGGCCUCCUGAUCAAUACUGUUGCAUCAGUACAGAUUAGAUCAUGUGGCUAGUUCUAGCCAAUUGAAUGGGAGAGGAAGUAAUGUGCCACAUCUGGUCUGAAUCAGUGAAGGGCAAGUAGACUUUCUCCACAUUAUUUCUCUUCUCUACGUUUGUCAACACAAGAUACCAGUGUGACCUUGAACUCCCAACAUGAAGAUGGUGAACUUCUAGCAUGAAAGAAGUUUGAAUCCCUGAAUACUACUUGGAGGCCAGCAAACCUGUUGACCUGCAUGAGAAGUCAUGUCAGCAAGACAUAAAUUCUUUUGUGUGUUAAGCCACUGGGAUUUUGGAGUUGUGUGUUGCAAGUGCUAAUGUAGGUUGCCCUAAUAUAGACAUUUUCAAUUUUUGUUUUCUCUUAUCCAUUUCUUAAUUAUACUAAGGGAAUAAUUUUUAACAUUGUUAUGGGCACAUAUCAUUGACAUUAGAAAAAAGUAAAUGCACUUUCUUUUGUCUCUCUGGCCUUCUGAUUUCUCUUUUACAAACAGCUGUCCUUUGAUCUUGGUUAUCUGCUGUAGUACUUACGGAAAUAUUAC